GACGAACGCUGGCGGCGUGCUUAACACAUGCAAGUUGAACGGUCCGACAUGGAAGCUUGCUGAAGUGUCGGGUAGUAGCGGACGGGUGAGUAAUGCAUGAGAAGCUGCCAUUGGGAGGGGGACAACAGUUGGAAACGGCUGCUAAUACCCCGUAUGCCGAAAGGUAAAAGGGAGCAAUCCGCCUGAUGAGGUGCUCAUGUCCUAUCAGCUGGUUGGUGGGGUAACGGCCUACCAAGGCGACGACGGGUAGCCGGCCUGAGAGGGUGAACGGCCACACUGGAACUGAGAUACGGUCCAGACUCCUACGGGAGGCAGCAGUGGGGAAUAUUGGGCAAUGGGGGAAACCCUGACCCAGCGACGCCGCGUGAGGGAAGACGGCCUUCGGGUUGUAAACCUCUUUUGUACGGGAAGAAGGAAGUGACGGUACUGUACGAAUAAGUCCCGGCUAACUACGUG
rnacentral:rRNA from 1 species